AGAGUUUGAUCCUGGCUCAGAAUCAACGCUGGCGGCGNNCUUAACACAUGCAAGUCGCACGAGAAAGCAGGAGCAAUCUUGUGAGUACAGUGGCGUACGGGUGAGUAACACGUGGGUAAUCUACCUCUUAGUGGGGAAUAACGCUGGGAAACCGGCGCUAAUACCGCAUAAUCUCGGGAGAGGAAAGCAGCAAUGCGCUGAGAGAGGAGCCCGCGGCCGAUUAGCUAGUUGGGAGGGUAAAAGCCUACCAAGGCAUAGAUCGGUAGCCGGCCUGAGAGGGCACACGGCCACACUGGCACUGAAACACGGGCCAGACUCCUACGGGAGGCAGCAGUGGGGAAUCUUGCACAAUGGGGGAAACCCUGAUGCAGCGACGCCGCGUGAGCGAUGAAGCCCUUCGGGGUGUAAAGCUCUUUCGUCAGGGACGAUAAUGACGGUACCUGGAGAAGCAGCUGCGGCUAACUACGUGCCAGCAGCCGCGGUAAUACGUAGGCAGCGAGCGUUGUUCGGAGUUACUGGGCGUAAAGGGUGUGUAGGCGGUUUUCUAAGUUUGGUGUGAAAUCUCCCGGCUCAACCGGGAGGGUGCGCCGAAAACUGGGAGACUAGAGUGCGGGAUGGGAGAGUAGAAUUCCUGGUGUAGCGGUGAAAUGCGUAGAUAUCAGGAGGAAUACCGGUGGUGUAGACGGCUCUCUGGACCGCCACUGACGCUGAGACACGAAAGCGUGGGUAGCAAACAGGAUUAGAUACCCUAGUAGUCC
rnacentral:rRNA from 1 species